UACGGGGGGAGCAAGCGUUGUUCGGAUUUACUGGGCGUAAAGGGCGCGUAGGCGGCCUCUGCAAGUCGACUGUGAAAUCUCCGGGCUUAACCCGGAAAGGUCAGCCGAUACUGCAGGGCUAGAGUGCAGAAGGGGCAACUGGAAUUCUCGGUGUAGCGGUGAAAUGCGCAGAUAUCAGGAGGAACACCGAUGGCGAAGGCAGGUCUCUGGGCAUUAACUGACGCUGAGGAACGAA
rnacentral:rRNA from 1 species